CAGAGCCGAGCCCGACCCGAACGGGGCCGAGCGGAGCCGCCCUCACGAAAUGAGGCGAAAAGGUGUUUAAGGGAUUUUGAAGUUUUAAGGAUUUCAGUGUGUCAUUCCAUGAACACGUGAACGCUUAGGAAUGAAAAUCGAUUUAUGGAAGAGCUGACCAGCUUUCUGGGGAGGAUCUAAGACAAACCUGUGAGCUGCACCUUACAGAAAGGAGGCAAAAAGCCAAGUGGCAGGAGAUCUGCUGAGAAAGCUGAGGAUGACAGUCUCGCAGGGGAGGAGGGAAGGCAGCAGCCAUACAAAUUAGAGUGUCACUGGGAUCCUGGUAAACAAACUACU